rnacentral:rRNA from 1 species
AUUGAACGCUGGAGGCAGGCUUAACACAUGCAAGUCGAACGAGUGGCACACGGGUGAGUAAUGCUUGGGAAUCUAGCUUCUGGAGGGGGAUAACUACGGGAAACUGUAGCCAAUACCGCGUACCAUAGGAAGAGCCCAAUGGGUAUUGGUUAGUUGGUGAGGUAAAGGCUCACCAAGCCGACGAUCUCUAGCUGGUCUGAGAGGAUGACCAGCGUCACUGGGACUGAGACACGGCCCAGGCUCCUGCGGUAGGCAGCAGUGGGGAAUAUUGCGCGAUGGGUGCAACCUGACGCAGUCAUGCCGCGUGAAUUAAGAAGGCCUUCGGGUUGUAAAGUUCUAUCGGUAGUGAGGCGUUAUCUACUGAAGAAGCACCGGCUACCUCCGUGCCAGCAGCCGCGGUAAUUC